rnacentral:rRNA from 1 species
UACGUAGGGUGCGAGCGUUAAUCGGAAUUACUGGGCGUAAAGCGUGCGCAGGCGGUUUUGUAAGCCAGAUGUGAAAUCCCCGGGCUUAACCUGGGAAUGGCAUUAGGGACUGCAAGGCUGGAGUUUGGCAGAGGAGACUGGAAUUCCCGGUGUAGUGGUGGAAUGCGUAGAUAUCGGGAGGAACACCAGUGGCGAAGGCGGUUACCUGGCCUGUUCUUGACGCUGAGGCGGCG